rnacentral:rRNA from 1 species
CCUACGGGCGGCAGCAGUCGAGAAUCAUUCACAAUGGGGGAAACCCUGAUGGUGCGACGCCGCGUGGGGGAAUGAAGGUCUUCGGAUUGUAAACCCCUGUCAUGUGGGAGCAAAUUAAAAAGAUAGUACCACAAGAGGAAUAGACGGCUAACUCUGUGCCAGCAGCCGCGGUAAUACAGAGGUCUCAAGCGUUGUUCGGAAUCACUGGGCGUAAAGCGUGCGUAGGCUGUUUCGUAAGUCGUGUGUGAAAGGCGCGGGCUCAACCCGCGGACGGCACAUGAUACUGCGAGACUAGAGUAAUGGGGGGGGAGCCGGAAUUCUCGGUGUAGCAGUGAAAUGCGUAGAUAUCGAGAGGAACACUCGUGGCGAAGGCGGCUUGCUGGACUGUAACUGACGUUGAGGCUCGAAAGCGUGGGGAGCGAACAGGAUUAGAUACCCUAGUAGUC